rnacentral:rRNA from 1 species
AACGAACGUUGGCGGCGUGCCUUACACAUGCAAGUCGAGUGAGAAAGGGGCUUCGGCUCCGAGUAAAGCGGCGGACGGGUGAGAACAUCGUAGGUAACCUGCCCUUCAGUAGAGGACAACGGUCCGAAACGACCGCUAAUACUGUGUACGUUCUCCGGGACCCCGGUCCUGGAGAGGAAAGCCUCGCAAGGGGCGCUGAAGGAGGGGCCUGCGUCGCAUCAGCUAGUUGGUGGGGUAACGGCCUACCAAGGCUAAGACGCGUAGCUGGUCUGAGAGGAUGAUCAGCCACACUGGGACUGAGACACGGCCCAGACUCCUACGGGAGGCAGCAGUGGGGAAUAUUGGACAAUGGGCGCAAGCCUGAUCCAGCCACGCCGCGUGAGUGAUGAAGGCCUUCGGGUCGUAAAGCUCUGUGGGGAGGGACGAACGUCCCCGUGAAGAACGGGGGGUGACGGUACCUCCUUACCAAGCACCGGCUAACUUCGUGC